UACCUCCUUAUUCUACCAGCCGCGGCUUCCUGCCCUCGCUGCUCUCCAGCGUGAGGUGACCGUGGUGGUCCCGUGACACUACACUCCUUCUAUCCUACCACCUCCUCCGCUGCAUUCGCAGACUGCGAGGUCGCUCCCAGUGUCAUCCAGCUACAAUAGCAAAUCGCAGCGUUGUAUCUGCCUCACAUUGCUGUAUUGCAUGUGUAUGUUCUUGUAUACCAUACAUCAGUAAGUUGCUGUUGUAUUGCCUGCACAUCAUAUUUUGUGAGGCCUCAUGCCUGACAGCACCCUUCAGAAUGUCACAGAAGCACAUGUAUGAUGCUGCCCUCAGUUUUAGUAGCACAAAUGCUAAGUCAUCUCAACGUGACUGUCUAAUACUAAAACUGUAAGCUGCAAUAAUUUUAUUCAGCAUUUAAAAAGGCCAGUGACAGAACAUGGUAAAGCCAUCCAUUGCACCAUUUUAUAGUUUGAACUUAGAUAUAUUCUAAUAAUUGAGUCAGAAAACUAUCACCUAUGUGACGAUGCUGGCAUGUCAAGGAGAUGUGUUGCAAGAACAUAGUAGCUGCAAUCAAAUGCAAACGUUAUUCAAAUGUUAUUGUUUUAUUACUACAUCAGAUUAUCACUGCCACAUUAUCAUUGUCUUAACAUUGUCAUUUCCUGUCUUGGGAUGCCACAUCACAAAUGUUUGUUUUAUAUUUACUAAUAUCACCAGAGAAGCGUGGAUUGUGGUAUUAUCUAGUUGCAGUGCAGUUGUGGUUAUUCCAGUUCACUAUCACAGAAUGUGAACUCAUCCUCUGACAGCGUUAAGGUUUAGUUUCCACCUAAUUGAUUUGGGACCCAUCACAGCCAACAAGUGGCCCCUGCUGGAUGCCAACUUCCUAUUCACACCACAGUAUUCCUACUCAAGGAACAACCUUCCAGCAGAAUGAGUUACUGGAGCUAGAAGCUCAGUUGAGGAAAAAGAGAAAGAAGAUUCUUGUACAGUCUGUUGAUUUCAGCCCUAUGGUCUCCAAGAACACCAAUUAAUAUUCUAAGAUUCAAGAGGAACUCUCAAGAGCUGGCAAUCCAGUAUCCGGCAGUGUAACAAGAAAAAGAAGAAGAAUCUAAUAAGGAAAAUGAGAUUAAGACCAGAAAUUGCAGUCCCUGGGCCCACCGGCCCUUGAGCCCUGAUGUAGUUGCCUGAUUUGGACACCCAAGAUCUCUGCCCUUGCUUAUGUGAAGAGUGGGGACUGAAGCUGGGAGGUACCAGAAUGUCGCACUGAUCAGCACAGGUAUCCUACAGACCAACACUUGGACCAAAGAUUGAGAAGCAAUGUGUGAGAUUAUAGGGGGAGCCUUCACUACUUAAUGGCAGGCAAACUUGCCACACUCAACAGAAGAAAAUCUUCCUCAGUGGUUCUUCGCAUGCAUAUGAUCAGGUAGCUCUCCGGGUCAGUGAGCUGAACCAAACGGAGCCUGCCUCUAUGUCAGAGUUGGUAUGAU